rnacentral:lncRNA from 1 species
UUAAACGAUAUUACAUAGGAUUAUAUGAUACAAUACGAGAAUAAAUUUAGAAAGGAGUCAUGCGCGUAAAAUAAUAUAAGGUUAGUUAAUAUAUACAUGCAUUAAAAUUAAUUUUAAUACAAAGUAUACGUACAUAUAUAGAGAUAGAUAAAUAAUAUUGAAUAGAAUAUUAAAGAAACACAUGUUCAAACAUUAAACAUAUUGCAAAAUAAUAAGUUAUACUAAUAGGAGAUUAAAUUAAAAUUGGAUUAAAACAAGAGGGGUAAUGUGAGAACAAAGCAGUAACAAUAAGAGGACCAGUAUGCAACACCUGCAAAUGCGCAGGGACUCAAACUGGAAAUAAUCCAAUCCCCAAAACGCGAAGCUCAGGCGAGGACCCAUAUGCAAACGAAUGUAAAUUGCUGGGAAUAAAUUUAAAAAAACAUGAAGCACAAAUGUGAGUUGAUUGAAAUGUGGCGCGAAAGGAGAGGGACUGCUAUUGCAAAUAGCCCUCAGUGACCACACACGCGGAUCUAGACCGUAUGCGGGUCGGGUCAUCGGGCCGUAACUCCUUGGACACUGUCGUUUUGAGACCAUCAAUUUGGCCUAAAACGGUGGCGUAUAGAGGUCCUUUAUAGCCACCGAAGCCAACCCCAAAAUGUUUGCAACCAUUCACAAAAAAAAAAAACCUUAGACGCUCUUUCAAUCCUUCGCCGACCAACAGCCUUUUGAAGGUCUGUUCCUCUGCCCCUCUUUUUGACUCAUAUGAGAGUCAAUCAAGGCCUCAUCGAGUCGAAAGAUUCGUGAGUCUUGCUCGUAGACCCCGAAUCGUCACUUGGUCUCAAUCGUGGUGAGACAAGCGUGGAUUCGAAGGCAUCAAACGCAGGUAAGUGUCGUUUCCCUUUUUUAUCUUUACAUUCAAUAAAAAAAAGGGUAAAUGAACAGGUAGGAGAAAAAUAAGGGAUGAUAAUCGCGAGUAAAUCACCUUCUUUUUGCUGUGUAUUGCUUCUGUUUUUUUUUUUGAAAAAAGGAACCCCCUUACAAUAUGAAAUCAUCGGCUUUAUAGCCGAAUGUUCAAAAAAGAAAUAAAAGAAUACAAUUUCGUUCUUUUUUCGUAUUGGCCAUUGUUGUUGUUGUCGUUUUGUCUAUCUCUUUGCAGGUACAAGUGCGUGGCGUGUGUACGAGGGUGUGUGCUGGCGUAUGGGGUGUGGGCAUGGCGCCAGGAGGAGUGUACGGCACUGGGGGCUACUGGUGAAGGCUGCGGCACAGGAGAAAAAGAACCCUAGGAUUCUGGGGUUGUAAUUUUCUGAGCCUAUCGAGCCUGUAUUUGGGUCUUUGGGUCAUUUAGGGUAUUGGGCUAAGUUAUUAGGCUUGUGACUUGGUUUUAAUUUUAAGUCUAGGUUAUGUAAUUGGUUUGGGCCAUGUACCGAUUUAGUUUGUAAAAAAAUAUAUAUAUAUAUACAUAUAUAUAUAUAUGUAUAUAUAUUAAUGGACUGUUAUAAUUUUAUUUGUUUUAUGUUUAUGGUUUUUUGUUUAUCCGGGCCGGGCAAAUUUGACCCACUACAAAUAUCAUUUCUACAAACAUGGAAAUUACAGCAAAACAAUCCAACCCAUUUUUUUAUCCAUAUUUACCUGAGUCAUUUACAUCACCAGUUAACUGCCCAGACUGUCAAUUUGCAGGUACAUAUGGCAGAAUGAAGGAAAUAGAGAGUAAAAAAGAAAAAAGAAUAAAAUUUGGAGUAAAAAAGAAAAAAGAAUAAAAUUUGUAGUCUUAGCUCUCUUUUAAGAAGAAAUUAAAGUAGGGGUCAUAAUGCAAUGAGUUAGUGAGAUGUUGAAGCCGUUAUGGUCUCUACUUCUCUGUUUAGUUUAUUUGGAAGCUAAAGUGAAA